GUCAGGACAAUACUUGUUACAUCACAGAAGAAGCUAGGGAUCUCCAGGAUACAAAAGAUUUUUCAGGGAGGCCUAAUGAUGAUGUCACUGAGAACUGCCAUGUCCUUAGCUGCUGAGCAGCGUUCCUUUCAUUGACCAGAUUCGAGGGUGUCCUUUCCAGGAGAGUCUCCUAUUGCACAGUUGAAACCUUUACAUACUCCAUCUCUCUAAACCUAGAGACUUCUCUCUGCUUCACUAGUAGUUAAAAGCUCUGAAUGGAGAAAGUUAGUCAGGGUCUUGGCAUGGGUAGAAAACAUUUAGGAACAUGGAAUAUAGGAGAUCUUCUAGAUAAUACUUAUAUCCCCAGGUUCAUACCUGUGACUCAGUUCAACAUUCUAAGUAUUCUGUUUCCCAAAGGCCAGUAUUUUCCCUACAGACGUUUAAUUGAAUUAAUAUUGUAUUUCAAUUUCUUAUUGAAAAUUCGUUGAUAGGGGACUUUGAAAAUAUUCCUCAAUGUGUACUCAAAAAUUCUGUUUUCCAAUUCCAUUUUCUGCAAAGGUUUUGGCAACAAAGGAGGCCCAACUAUAGAGUAAGCAUAACACUGUAAAUACUGUAUACCUAAUUCAAAUUAUAAAUUCCCAAAUCCUUAUUUUAACAAAAAAUUACCAGAUAUCAGAAAAGCAAAGCACAACAUGGACUAUUGAAUUCGGUUCUCUAGUCCCAUUUGAUAUCAGUUCUGCAAUAUCUACCUUCCUGAGUUUCAUUCCCAUACUUGAGGGUUUUGAGUAUUUUACCAUGAUAAGUUAUUAAGGCCAAACAUAAGAUAUAGGAGGCUGGGCAUCUAGAGGAAUGACUUGAGGACCAGUGACGCCUCAAUUUCAGAAGUUUCAAAAAACAGGAUGGAGUCUAUUUGGUGUUGCCAUUUGUGGAUUCUACAGUCUUGACCUAGAUAUGCAGAACCCAUGUCAAAAUUCCAGCUAAACUCAGAGCUGUAGGAGCCACCAAAAGUACAUACAUAUACAUCAGCCACCAAAACUAGACAAGAUUGAUGAAGGUAAGUGCAUUCUUCCAGGAAUCAGAUAUAGAUAUUUCCUGAGAGACACAACUAGAUUAUGCCAAAUACAGAAGUGAAUGCUAGUGGCAAACCAGUGAACUGAAAAUGGACUUCUUGUUUGUAGAUUUUCAGGAAAGAUUACAAGAGCUGAAGGGGCUUUAACACCAUAAGAACGACAAUGCUAAUGAACCAGAGCUUUCUGAUACUAGACCUAUGUUCAAGAAUGUACAUGGACAGAGUUAUGGCUCCAACUGCAUAUGUGGAAGAGGAUGGACUUGGAACCACUUGAAGCAGGGAAGUCCAGAUGCUUCUGACACGCUCCGAGCUCCGAGCUCCUGAUCCCAUGUGUGGAAGGCUCAGAUCAAUUCUAUCUCUUCAAGACAGGAGGGUAGCAUUAUUGUCCUCUGCAAGACUCAACGGAGCAGCCGACUGACACAGGUGCACAGACAUACGGCCAAAUAUCGAAUGGAGCUCAGUGAGUCUCACUGAAGGGCUGAGGGAAGGGCAGGCAGAGACAGAGGAGCACAAUGAUCUUCAGGUGGGGUCACUAAACACAGUCGCUUGUCUGUGGAUCCUGUUCUCCUACCUGGGCUGCGUUUUCAGGACCUGGUGGGAGACGAUGAAUCUAGUUGAGUAGAGACUUGAUGUGCCAGGGGAGAGGGUGAACCCAGAGGGGUCCUCCACUCUCUCAGAUAAGAAGGGGAGAGGAUAGAAGGAGGGAGUAUAAAUGGUAAGAGCCUGGAGGAGUGUGGUUCCAGGGCAGCAUUCAGAAUGCUACCUGGUGAAUAGAUGCAACCAUUCUAGCAAGGGACUCAGGCAUGACAUCACUGGGAAGGGGGCGGGACAUCAUGGGUGUGGGACAUGACAUCAUGGUGGUGGGGCAUGACAUCACGAUUAUCCAUCAGAAGUAAUUAUCUGGCUAAACAUUCAUCACGAGUGUCAGCUCCACAGGCUCACUGAAGAUCCUAAACCAUAGUUGUUAGUGAAGUUAUAUAUUGAAAAACCCAGUCAAUAUCUUAUCUUGUGUCCUUUCACCUGUACCAAAUCGUUUGAUCUCUUUGUUUGACUCUUGAUAACUGUUUUGGAACCUCUUGGAAUGUGUUCUGAGUAGGAUUAAGUCUGUUUACUUUCUCAGAACAAUUAAAUGGUGACACCUGGGAGACUGGCAGAGUUGUCACUGGAAUUUUGACUAAUAGAAAGAGACUUAUAGCAGUCCCACUAUAAAAGAACUUAAUAACCAUUGAUAUAAUUUUAAGAAUUAUUGUAGGAUCGUUAUUAAGACUAAAGAAUUCAUCUACUUGUCUGUAUACUAACACUAUGGGACAG